rnacentral:rRNA from 1 species
CCUACGGGUGGCAGCAGUGGGGAAUAUUGCACAAUGGGGGGAACCCUGAUGCAGCGAAGCCGCGUGAGUGAAGACGUCUCUCGGUAUGUAAAGCUCUAUCAGCAGGGAAGAAAAUGACGGUACCUGACUAAGAAGCCCCGGCGAACUACGGGCCAGCAGCCGUGGUACUACGUAGGGGGCAAGCGUUAUACGGAUUUACUGGGUGUAAAGGGAGCGUAGACGGUUAUGCAGGUCUGAAGUGAAAGCCCAAGGCUCAACCAUGGGACUGCUUUGGAAACUGUACAACUGGAGUGCAGGAGGGGUAGGCGGAAUGCCUAGUGUAGCGGUGAAAUGCAUAGAUAUUAGGCGGAACACCAGUGGCGAAGGCAGCUUACUGGACUGUAACUGACGUUGAGGCUCGAAGGCGUGGGGAGCAAACAGGAUUAGAUACCCCUGUAGUC